rnacentral:lncRNA from 10 species
CUUGGGCAAGUCGCUUUCAACGCUGCCUCUGGCCACCUGCCCCGAAGGUGCGGAGUGCCUACAACAGAAGUAUGUGUUGAAUGAUGAAUGCCACAGUCCCCUUUAUGGACAGAGCCAGCAUCAGAAGCCAAGCAGAAGGAGUACCUCCAGAAGCAAACCUCUGUUCUAACCAGAAAUCAGAACCAAGAUAGAACAAGAAUUAAACAUGAACUGAACACUCUCUGAACCCGGCUUUGUUCUU